AAAGCGUUUCGCUUUGUGUGGUGCACAAAGAAGCGUAACGACAGCACUGAAUGACGGUUAACGGAGCGCAAGCGACGUUCAACAUACAAAGUCAAGCAGUGGAGCGCUUUGGGGUGGGGUGACUGCGUACCUUUUGUAUAAUGGGUCAGCGACUUAUAUUCUGUAGCAAGGUUAACCGUAUAGGGGAGCCGCAGGGAAACCGAGUCUUAAUUGGGCGUUAAGUUGCAGGGUAUAGACCCGAAACCCGGUGAUCUAGCCAUGGGCAGGUUGAAGGUUGGGUAACACUAACUGGAGGACCGAACCGACUAAUGUUGAAAAAUUAGCGGAUGACCUGUGGCUGGGGGUGAAAGGCCAAUCAAACCGGGAGAUAGCUGGUUCUCCCCGAAAGCUAUUUAGGUAGCGCCUCGUGAAUUCAUCUCCGGGGGUAGAGCACUGUUUCGGCUAGGGGGCCAUCCCGGCUUACCAACCCGAUGCAAACUGCGAAUACCGGAGAAUGUUAUCACGGGAGACACACGGCGGGUGCUAACGUCCGUCGUGAAGAGGGAAACAACCCAGACCGCCAGCUAAGGUCCCAAAGUCAUGGUUAAGUGGGAAACGAUGUGGGAAGGCCCAGACAGCCAGGAUGUUGGCUUAGAAGCAGCCAUCAUUUAAAGAAAGCGUAAUAGCUCACUGGUCGAGUCGGCCUGCGCGGAAGAUGUAACGGGGCUAAACCAUGCACCGAAGCUGCGGCAGCGAACGUAUCACUUAAAGCGAUUCAGCGGGUUACGAUUGACGGAGCGAAGCGACGUCAAAGCGUAUACAAAGUCGAGUCGGUUUAAGGAUACGUUCGUUGGGUAGGGGAGCGUUCUGUAAGCCUGCGAAGGUGGCCUGUGAGGGUUGCUGGAGGUAUCAGAAGUGCGAAUGCUGACAUAAGUAACGAUAAAGCGGGUGAAAAGCCCGCUCGCCGGAAGACCAAGGGUUCCUGUCCAACGUUAAUCGGGGCAGGGUGAGUCGACCCCUAAGGCGAGGCCGAAAGGCGUAGUCGAUGGGAAACGGGUUAAUAUUCCCGUACUUGGUGUUACUGCGAAGGGGGGACGGAGAAGGCUAUGUUGGCCGGGCGACGGUUGUCCCGGUUUAAGCGUGUAGGUGUGUGUUCCAGGUAAAUCCGGUU
rnacentral:rRNA from 1 species